UACGGAGGGUGCAAGCGUUGUUCGGAAUUACUGGGCGUAAAGCGCGCGUAGGCGGCUUUGUAAGUUAGAGGUGAAAGCCCGGGGCUCAACCCCGGAACUGCCUUUAAGACUGCAUCGCUUGAAUCCAGGAGAGGUGAGUGGAAUUCCGAGUGUAGAGGUGAAAUUCGUAGAUAUUCGGAAGAACACCAGUGGCGAAGGCGGCUCACUGGACUGGUAUUGACGCUGAGGUGCGAAAGCGUGGGGAGCAAACAGG
rnacentral:rRNA from 1 species